rnacentral:rRNA from 1 species
AGGACGAACGCUGGCGGCGUGCCUAACACAUGCAAGUGGAGCGACGAACCAGGCUUCGGCCUGGGGCUAAGCCGCGAACGGGUGAGUAACACGUGGGUAACCUGCCCCGAUGAUUGGGACAACCCGAGGAAACUCGGGCUAAUACCGAAUGUGCCCCCCGGCCAUAAGGCCGCUGGGGAAAGGAAGCUUCGGCCUCCGCAUCGGGAUGGGCCCGCGGCCCAUUAGCUUGUUGGUGAGGUAACGGCUCACCAAGGCUGCGAUGGGUAGCUGGUCUGAGAGGACGAUCAGCCACACUGGGACUGAGACACGGCCCAGACUCCUACGGGAGGCAGCAGUGGGGAAUCUUGCGCAAUGCGCGAAAGCGUGACGCAGCAACGCCGCGUGGGGGAAGAAGGCCUUCGGGUUGUAAACCCCUUUCAGCAGGGACGAAGCGAAAGUGACGGUACCUGCAGAAGAAGCGCCGGCUAACUACGUGCCAGCAGCCGC